GCCGUUCUCAGUUCGGAUCGGAGUCUGCAACCCGACUCCGUGAAGCUGGAUUCGCUAGUAAUCGCGCAUCAGCCAUGGCGCGGUGAAUACGUUCCCGGGCCUUGUACACACCGCCCGUCACACCAUGAGAGUUGAGAAUACCCGAAGCCCAUGUCAAAGUGGUCGAAGGUAGGCUUGAUGAUUGGGGUGAAGUCGUAACAAGGUAAC
rnacentral:rRNA from 1 species